rnacentral:rRNA from 1 species
AUUGAACGCUGGCGGCAGGCCUAACACAUGCAAGUCGAACGGUUGCAGAAAGCUGCUUCCUGCAUUCCUCGCCAGUGGCGUACGUGUUGGUAAUGACUGGGCAUCUUCCUGGUGGAGGGCGUCCACUACUGGGCGCUGUUGCCACUUCCGCCUUGCGUCGCAAAGCCAGAGAGGUUCGCAUUCGGCCCUCUCGCCUUCGCAUAUGCCCAGAUGGGAUUAGCUAGUAGGUGGGGUAAAGGCACACCUAGGCGACGAUCCCUAGCUGGUCUGAGAGGAUGAUCAGCCACACUGGAACUGAGACACGGUCCAGACUCCUACGGGAGGCAGCAGUGGGGAAUAUUGGACAAAGGGCGAAAGCCUGAUGCAGCCAUGCCGCGUGUAUGAAGAAGGUCUUCGGGUUGUAAAGUACUUUCAGCGGGGAGGAAGGGAGGAAAGUUAAUACCUUUGUGCAUUGACGUUACCAGCAGAAGAAGCACCGGCUAACUCCGUG